rnacentral:antisense_RNA from 1 species
ACCAUUUCUUCUUCUUCUUACCUAAUUCAUCAUUCAUGCUCAUCUCAAUGUUGGCUAUAAGAUGUGAUCCCUUUAAAAUAAUCCGCUGGCAACCAGGUUGAUGGAUGAACUUCAAAGAAGGACAUAGUGAUGAAAGGAUCGAUAGCUUUUACGAUUGCUCUAAAGAACCAGAUAGCUGUAUUUAAGAUAUAAUUGGAAUUUCCCUUUAAGAGAAAGAACAGGUUAAACUUGAGAAGAAAAAAGACAAGCCACAUAUAACAGUACUGCUGACAUUUAGUCUUUGCAACUGUAAAUACACAAGAACCUCAAAGAUCACUAUCUGUCCUAUAUUUGAAGGUGCUUGUUGUGAUGCGCAGAAGACUGUUGGCCCUUAAAUGAGAAAACAUGAGAUGACAUGGGAAAACACAGGAUGACAUGUUAAGACAUCCAAAAACCAGAAUGAUCACCAAAGGCCCUCAAUGGACCCAUACUGUAAGUACUGAAAAGUAAUGGUUGAAACUAUAGGCUCA